CGAAGAGGUAGAGGCGCGAAUCUUAAGAGUACUAUAGUUUUUAUAAGCAAAUUGGAACUAUAGGAAAGGAAGAUUCGCCGAAGGAUAUAAGAAAUUGCUUUAAUCUUAUAAUCCUGGGGUUAUGCAGAAUAUGCAUAAGACUGUCACAAGAAAUUGUGUUGGGCUAUCAUUCUA
rnacentral:ncRNA from 2 species